GACGAGGGAUCCUAGCGUUGUUCGGAAUCAUUGGGCGUAAAGCGGGUGUAGGUGGCUUUGUAAGUCAGGUGUGAAAGCCUAGGGCUCAACCCUAGAAGUGCAUUUGAUACUGCGAAGCUUGAGUGCUAGAGAGGUUACUAGAAUUGUUGGUGUAGUGGUGAAAUACGUAGAUAUCAACAGGAAUACCGGUGGCGAAGGCGGGUAACUGGCUAGACACUGACACUCAGACCCGAAAGCGUGGGGAGCAAACAGG
rnacentral:rRNA from 1 species